rnacentral:rRNA from 1 species
UGCCAGCAGCCGCGGUAAUACGUAGGGUGCAAGCGUUGUUCGGAAUCACUGGGCGUAAAGGGCGUGUAGGCGGAUAGGUAAGCUAGAGGUUAAAGACCACAGCUCAACUGCGGGAAUGCUUUUAGAACUGCUUAUCUAGAGAAAGUCAGAGGUUAACGGAAUUCCAGGUGUAGAGGUGAAAUUCGUAGAGAUCUGGAGGAACACCAGUGGCGAAAGCGGUUAACUGGGGCUUUUCUGACGCUGAGGCGCGAAAGCAUGGGGAGCAAACAGGAUUAGAUA